AACGAACGCUGGCGGCAGGCCUAACACAUGCAAGUCGAGCGGACCCUUCGGGGUUAGCGGCGGACGGGUUAAUAACGCGUGGGAACGUGCCCUUCUCUACGGAAUAGCCUCGGGAAACUGAGAGUAAUACCGUAUACGCCCUUCGGGGGAAAGAUUUAUCGGAGAAGGAUCGGCCCGCGUUGGAUUAGGUAGUUGGUGGGGUAAUGGCCUACCAAGCCGACGAUCCAUAGCUGGUUUGAGAGGAUGAUCAGCAACACUGGGACUGAGACACGGCCCAGACUCCUACGGGAGGCAGCAGUGGGGAAUCUUAGACAAUGGGGGAAACCCUGAUCUAGCCAUGCCGCGUGGACGAUGAAGGCCUUAGGGUUGUAAAGUCCUUUCGCUGAGGAAGAUAAUGACGGUACUCAGUAAAGAAGCCCCGGCUAACUCCGUGCCAGCCGCCGCCGUAACAC
rnacentral:rRNA from 1 species